rnacentral:rRNA from 1 species
GAUGAACGCUGGCGGCGUGCCUAAUACAUGCCAGUAGAACGCUGAAGCUUGGUGCUUGCACCGAGCGGAUGAGUUGCGAACGGGUGAGUAACGCGUAGGUAACCUGCCUCUUAGCGGGGGAUAACUAUUGGAAACGAUAGCUAAUACCGCAUAAAAGUCGAUAUCGCAUGAUAUUGAUUUGAAAGGUGCAAUUGCAUCACUAAGAGAUGGACCUGCGUUGUAUUAGCUAGUUGGUGAGGUAACGGCUCACCAAGGCAACGAUACAUAGCCGACCUGAGAGGGUGAUCGGCCACACUGGGACUGAGACACGGCCCAGACUCCUACGGGAGGCAGCAGUAGGGAAUCUUCGGCAAUGGGGGCAACCCUGACCGAGCAACGCCGCGUGAGUGAAGAAGGUUUUCGGAUCGUAAAGCUCUGUUGUAAGAGAAGAACGAGUGUGAGAGUGGAAAGUUCACACUGUGACGGUAACUUACCAGAAAGGGACGGCUAACUACGUG